UAAGUCUUUACUUCAGUGGACAAGAACUGUAACAUAUAGAUCAACCAUCAUCAUCAAUCAGAAAAACCAGGUCAACCUUGUCAUCAAAACGUUUUAAUAAAUUUAAUAGAAAGACACUGAUAUCGGAGACAAGGUUGCCUGACAAUGUAAGAUUCCCGAUCCUCAAGGCGGAGCGCAUAUAACAAUGAUUGGAGAAUCUAUUGCUGUCGAGUUGAAGGAACACAUCAUGAACAUGCCGGAAAGGAAAACCCCUUUUUAUUUAAAUCUCUCUUUUUUUUAAAUAUAAUUAAAUAAUAUAUCGAAUCUUUUUUAUUGGGAAAUUGUAUAUAAAUAAUAAAGAUAAUGGCGUUCACUA